AAUGUACCUUCGAGCAGGUCUUGUUUCAUUAUCUGUGGUUGUAGUGUCCAACUAUUCGAAAAUCAAAAGAAAAAGGAAAAGGUCGAACAAGUUAGGUACACUUUCUAGAAAGAUACUUUUCAUACCGCCCUCGCUAGCAUAGCUCGAAGAAAUUGGUGGAAUGCAGGAGAUCCAGAAGAUCAUCCGAUUGCACAGUUAUGUUAAAGCUUAAAGCUCAGCUUGGGAAUGCAAUAGGUACAGGCGAAUAGACUUUAUUCAUGUGAAAUCAUUCCCCUGCAUAGUUUCACUUACGGCACACGUAUAUAUAGAAUUUCGUGAUAGCAAUCGCAGAGUGAAUGGUGAAGACACGUGGAGUUACAUAACUUCCAAUUUUUCGCUAUUAUCCAAUCAUCCACUGUUCAUUUGGAUUAAUAAACCCGAAGAGUGGCGUUAGCUGAACUACCCGAGGGAAAAGUGCAAAUAAAGUGAAAUUCUUGAAAGAAGCAAAGGGAUAGGAGUACUGGAAAAUCUUAAUACAGCCAAGCCGGCCAACCAAUCUACGGUAUCAACUACUAAAACAUCAAAGCUGACCGUUUGGGAGUUAGUGCAGUGCACAUCCACGGCGGCAAAGUGAAGGCUAAACCGUUGACGUUGGGCUAGCUCAAUAUCGGAAAUCAUUUACGGCUCGUGA